rnacentral:tRNA from 1 species
UCCCGGUUAGCUCAAUUGGUCAGAGCGUCGGACUUUUAACCACAGGUUUUUCGCGGGCCCUGCUGUGGACAUCCGAAGGCUGCGAGUUCGACCCUCGCAUCGGGAG